CUUAAAAUUCAAAGGAUUUGGCGGUAUUUUAGUCUAGUUAGAGGAACCUGUUUCUUAAGUGAUACUACACGUAAUAUCUUACUAGCUUUUGUUUGUAAUUUGUAUACCGCCAUUAUUAGAUAACUUUUAUAGAUGUAGUUAUUGAGAAUAAGAUUUUUAAAUAUAUUAGGUCAAGGUGCAGCUUAUAUGUUAGGGAAAAUGGGUAAUAAUACUAUUAAUUUAAACGGAUUAGUGAGGGAAGAAGUUUGUUAUGACGGAGGAUUUAAUUGUUAUGGAAUUUUAAUAAGAUUUGAUGAUAUGAACAUUAACUUAUGUACACAUUCGCCCG
rnacentral:rRNA from 1 species